CUUCACCGCCACCGUGCUGCCUCUGAUUCUAAGCAGGGUCGGGCCUGGUUGGUACUUGGAUGGGAGACCACCUGGGAAUACCAGGUGCUGUAAGCA
rnacentral:rRNA from 1 species